rnacentral:rRNA from 2 species
UGGGGAAUAUUGCACAAUGGGCGAAAGCCUGAUGCAGCAACGCCGCGUGAGGGAAGACGGCCUUCGGGUUGUAAACCUCUGUCCUCAGUGACGAAACAAAUGACGGUAGCUGAGGAGGAAGCCACGGCUAACUACGUGCCAGCAGCCGCGGUAAUACGUAGGUGGCAAGCGUUGUCCGGAUUUACUGGGUGUAAAGGGAGCGCAGGCGGGAGAGCAAGUCAGCUGUGAAAACUAUGGGCUUAACCCAUAGACUGCAGUUGAAACUGUUCUUCUUGAGUGGAGUAGAGGUAAGCGGAAUUCCGAGUGUAGCGGUGAAAUGCGUAGAGAUUCGGAGGAACACCAGUGGCGAAGGCGGCUUACUGGGCUCUAACUGACGCUGAGGCUCGAAAGUGUGGGGAGCAAACAGG